rnacentral:rRNA from 1 species
UACAGAGGUCCCAAGCGUUGUUCGGAUUCACUGGGCGUAAAGGGUGCGUAGGCGGUCGGGUAAGUCUGAUGUGAAAUCUCACAGCUUAACUGUGAAACUGCAUUGGAUACUAUCCGGCUCGAGGAAUGGAGGGGAGACUGGAAUACUUGGUGUAGCAGUGAAAUGCGUAGAUAUCAGGAGGAACACCGAUGGCGAAGGCAGGUCUCUGGGCAUUAACUGACGCUGAGGAGCGAAAGCAUGGGGAGCGAACAGG